rnacentral:rRNA from 1 species
UACGAAGGGGGCGAGCGUUGUUCGGAAUCACUGGGCGUAAAGGGCGCGUAGGCGGCCCUCCUUGUCGCGUGUGAAAGCCCCGGGCUCAACCUGGGAACGGCGCGCGAGACGGGGGGGCUGGAGUUCGGGAGAGGAGCGUGGAAUUCCCAGUGUAGAGGUGAAAUUCGUAGAUAUUGGGAAGAACACCGGUGGCGAAGGCGGCGCUCUGGGACCGAGAC